rnacentral:lncRNA from 1 species
CUUGAGGGGAAUGUUGGCUGGCUCGAGGCUUUUUUCACAAGAAGAUAGAGAGACAAAGGUUGUAUAUAUAAACUUUCUCAUCAUUGAUCUUCUCUUCUCCUUUCCUCUUCUCUUCACUCAGCAAGAGAGAGAGAGAGAGUCCACUGAGUAAGAGAGAUGGAGAAAGUUAAACACAUAUAUACAACUGAAGUACUCUAAGAGGCUUCGGACCAGGCUUCAUUCCCCUCAAAAUAUAAGCUACUACUAUUGCAGAACGGGCCACACAUGGUUUUGAAGCAGGCAUAUUGAUAGCUAUGUUGAGAGGAACGUCGUCUGGCUCGAGGUCAUUGAGGUUGAUUCAAUCGAUCCAACUGAGCCCUACAUGAUUCUCGGACCAGGCUUCGUUCCUCCCAAC